rnacentral:lncRNA from 1 species
GACAGGGAGGAGCCCACAGAGAUUCAGAGUCCUAAAUCUUGGAGACAGGCUAGCUGAGCCAGAUCUGAAGGGUUACCCCGACCUAUCUUUUAGCCCUUCCCUGCAGUACCUGGUCCCCAGACUCCCACCUGGACGUUCACAGCGACUGCCCUCCACCCCUCCCCCAUCCAGCUCUGCGUUGAAGGCUUCCUCUGGAGCACAGGCCGAAGUUGGCCUGAGCCGACAGCCAGGAAAAGAGCUGGUGUGUUACUGCACAGAAGGAGACCUGUGUGAAGGUGUGGGGGGCAGGGGCAGGCCCUGGGAAGGGGACUGAAAGAGCCACAGAGGACGGAGGGAGCCGAGACUAAACGGUGCAAGCUGCCUGCUGUGGGGGGACUGUCUAGCUCCAGGCUCAGACGUGGUGUCUGCUCUUCCUGGCUGGGGUCCGGGAGUCCCCCGGGGAGUGGGCACUGCCGGCCGUCGUAGAGCAGCUUUGGCCAGGGACGGUUGGUCACUGCUGCGGCCCUGGCCAGGGAUCGGGGAGGCCGAUCCAGCUGGCGAGUUCUGUGAGCCGGGGAGAAGCGCCAGAAUUUCCCAGUCGGCCCCCUAGCCCUCCGCUUGCCGCCUCACCUCACCUUCCCCGGUGAGCGCCCUCUCUCACCUUAGCCAAACUGCCUUCUUCCCAGGGCUUAGCUGGUCUCUUCUCUUGGUCUCCGGUGCCUCCUUUCAUACCAGGGAGGAAACGUCCCCAAACAGACCUUCCUUUUGAGCGAUAUGGUCCCCCAAAGAACUAUAGGCAAAAUGAAACUCAGAAUUUGGGGUCUGACUUAACCAGAACUUCUGCCCUCCUGGGCAGUUUUGUUUCUCUGGAGCUUUCCCCCUAGAAGCUGAGAGCACUUGAAAGAAGCUACUUCUGGGCCUUAGGCUUCCACCAGGGGUCCUGGGACCCCAUCCCUAGCCUAUCAUGCUUUGACACUUGUCCUGGUAGAGGCUGGAGUUCCAAGUGCUCUGGUUGGAAAGGGAAAGAACUCAUUGUUGAAGGAAAUGCUUCUAGGCUUUGUCCAGUCUGGAUGGAGAUGGGGAAGAAUUCAACCAGUUUCCAGCAUCUCCCCUACCUUCCACGGGCCUUGUCUGAGUCUCCAUGCUCCCAUUCAGGGGCUUGCAUUAAGCUCUGGGCUCUUCCUCAGGCCCAAUCUCUGCUAGAAGAAAGCUGGUCUCUUGCCAUCAGUGCCCCAUGUCCUCUUUGGGGCUCAGAAGGUCCUAUAUUCUCUACCUGGAAGAUAGAAUGACCAAAUUCCACACAUUUAUCAAGACCUCCUAGGUUAAAGCCCCUCUGAGAAGCCUUCUCUGAUAUCUCUAGAACACAACGUCUCCCUGGCUUUCUGAAUCCCCCUGGCAUUUAUAGCCUAAGCUACAUAUGUUUUUGUGUAGUUUUAAUUUUUUCCCCUUAUAUCCAUUGGUCUUUAUCUCAUCAAUGAGCUUGGAAGAUGCUUGGGGACAAGAACUGUGCCUAGCACAAUUCUAACACAUAGGAGUUAGGAAAGCCCCUGUGGACUAAUAAUUUAGAUACAACUAUAAAGGCAUUUAUACAACUGACUUCAAAUACAAGUUGUCAUAAAAAUUCAACAGAAAAAAAAAGAAUUUGGGAGAACACACUAAAGUAUGUGGAAAAAAUCGAAGCCUAGUUCAAAAUGAUCCAGUUUAGUGAGUAGCAAAGUGGUACAGACUCGUUGCAAAUUUGUUCUUAAUUUCAUCCUCUAGCUCUGUGAUUCAUCUUUGCCAAUAGACUGUGUCUACAUAUAAGAGCUUUGGAUUCCUUCCAGCAAUCAUGGUCCAUCUAUGAGUACAAGUUAAGCUCUCCACCCACUGUGGGAAAAUUUCUUUUCACCAGCAACGGGAAUUGACAUAAGAAAAAUAAAAUUUAAAAUUUAAAUUGACAAAGCCAAAAUAAACUAUGGAAAUUAUUAAAAUUCUAAAGCCAAUUGAACACCAACAUUAAUAUUUUACCCAUCUGUGACUCCAAACAACUAAUUAAAAACCUCUAAUUUGUGACUCAAACUGGAAUUAGACCUAUAUGUGGCACACAUAUGCAAAUCACUGAUUUGGAAAUUGAUCGUCCAACAAUCUCACUAUCCAUACCAUACCCAAGAAACUGAAAAGAAGGGGAACUAAACCACUAAAUAGCCAGAAUUGAUGUUAUAUAAAGCUAUGCAUUUUGUGCACUGUAGAGUCCUUCUUACUCCAUGUCUGCUAAUUCAUAGUUUAGAUAUUGUAUUAACACGUAAUGGCAUCUGACCUCACCAAUUAGAUGCAGAAAACUAGAGGUGAGAUAGGAAAGCAGCAGUUGUUGAUGAAGCACAAUGAGAACAGGAAAA